CCUACGGGAGGCAGCAGUGGGGAAUAUUGGGCAAUGGAGGCAACUCUGACCCAGCAACGCCGCGUGAGUGAUGAAGGUCUUCGGAUUGUAAAGUUCUGUGAUGGGGGAUGAACACAAUGACGGUACCCCAAUAGCAAGCCACGGCUAACUACGAGCCAGCAGCCGCGUUAAUACGUAGGUGGCAAGCGUUAUCCGGAAUGACUGGGCGUAAGGGGUGCGUAGGUGGUUUAGUAAGUUGGCGGUGUAAUUCCGGGGCUCAACCUCGGCGCUACCGCCAAAACUAGUAGACUAGAGUGCAGGAGGGGUAAGUGGAAUGCCUAGUGUAGCGGUGGAAUGCGUAGAUAUUAGGAGGAACAUCAGGGGCGAAGGCGACUUACUGGACUGUAACUGACACUGAGGCACGAAAGCGUGGGGAGCAAACAGGAUUAGAUACCCUAGUAGUC
rnacentral:rRNA from 1 species